ensembl:lncRNA
GUGGCUAGUUGCGACGAAGUGUUGCCUCCUGAUAUUACCGUGAAGGAACAGAACUAACAGCCACUCUUCCCAGUUUUUCGCGUUGUUUUGAAACGUCUGCGAGCGAAGCUUAAUAACGCCGACCAGCAUCACAUUUCAGAAUCGGAAUAUAAUUAUAUUUUCAGUGAGACACUUGUUUAGACUGUCCUUUUGGUGGAUGGCGAGAGGUAAAUCUACCCCACUGUAAUUUCCUUGAGCGAGUCGACUUCGGCUCAACGCCCACAAGGCGAUUCUCAUCCAGGGCUUUCUGGCAGAGCCUGACGAUACGGGUCAGCCUCAUGCAGCGCCACCUGGGAGGGAGCACUUGAUAGAGGCCGUCAUCUUCCACGUCACUCUCCUCGUCAGACAUGAAGUUGGGGUCAGCUCCAACUAGGAAGUCUAGGUCUUCCGGGGUGAGGAACUUCCCUCCCACCUUCACUCUCUUCUGGAAGAGCUGACAUAUUACAAUCUUCUUCCUCAAGACGUCCUCUUCCUGCUUGCUACGUGUUACUUCCUUCAAGAAGCCAUUCUCCACCAACCGAGUGAUCUCGUGCACAGCAGUUUUAAGUACCGUUUCCAUAACUCCACUGAGCUGGUACUGGAAGCUGACGAUAGCUUCUGACAUAGCUGCAACAACAUUAACUCAGUACUGGACAAUAACCCACCGCUACGUUUCCUUUACUGUUACGAGUGCCUGAGUUCCUAACCAAUCUUCAACAAAUUAGUUAUCUCCAGGUUUGGUUUACUAUUGGAAAGACCUGAGUUUUGCCUUUUGCUGUGUUCAGAUCACACCUGCGCCCAGGCCAGUCAGGUGUCCGUUUCUCCAGUCCUGGAAAAAGGGGCAAGCCUUCAAAUACACAACUGCGUUCAUUUUGUGUAUUUUAUGUUUAGUUACAAAUAAAAC